UCACAGAGUGUUCCUGCAAAACAUAUAAACAACAAAACAGACUUUAAAAUGAGUGUUGUGUGAAGAUUAACAGUCAGAAGGACAGUCUGUCAUUUGUCACAGAGCAGACACUUUGUCUUCAGUCGCAUCAGUUGCAAGAUGGAUAUAACACUGACAUUGACAAAUGUAUUACAGUAUAUGUUGUCAUAGCUGUGAUCCUUCCGUUAUUGCUGUGGAAGAGUCAAAGAAAGCAGUUUGGGAAGCUCCCUCCGGGACCCACUCCGUAUCCACUGCUGGGAAAUUUACUUCAGUUUGAUGUCAAGGAACCAUUCAAGUUUUACCUAAAGACACAGUUGGUGUUUAGUAAGACCUGCUACAGUCGAUGGAAAUUGGAAACAGUCUGUCUUCGAAUAUUUCAGCGAAUUGUAAGAUGGCUUCUGUAACCAUUCCAGCAGCUGAUUGGUGGUUCAACGGCUGAUUGGAUCUUGGAACUCCUCCUACUCGUUAGUGGCUGCAGCUGGCUGGGCUCUUUAAAAAGCCUAGUUUUGGAUCUGUUCGCUCUCUGCUCUGGCUUUGCACACUGUUCCUGCUGUUGGUGUGGUUGGUAUCCCUUGGUGGGGAAAUUUGUGACUUGUAGAUUACUUUAUUGUUGUCUAUUUGAGAUUAGGAUUGGAACAUUUGACAAUGCUUUUAAUAAUGUUGUAAUCUGAUUUGUUAGCUAGUAACUCUAGCUUUGUGUUCCACUUUUGGAACUUGAACAGCAGGAAAUAGUAUUUGUUUGUGAAUUCUUAUUCUUAUUAUUCUUAUUCUUACUGUUGGUGUUAACUUAUUUUUCUUGUUCUUUAUUCUUUACAGGGAGUCUGGGGAGUAGAUUUAGAGCUACCCCGGGGUAUACAUCACCCGUAGGCCUACUUCUCUUUCUAGAAACACCAGUUAGACCUGGGCGGACCACCAUCUGUAAUUUUGGUUAGGGCGCCUUGAUCGUGUGCCAGAUAGGUGAUGGGUACAAUUAGCCUAGAUUAGUGGUGGGGGUAUUUUGUUUUUCUUUUCUUUGGUUCAUCCAGCUCUCCCCUUUCUCCCUUAAAGUUGUUUUACAUUUACAUUAUAACCGUGACAAAAAUAAAAACCGUUUGUACGGUGGAAUUUGUCUCCUUUGCUCGCACCACGACUCCAUUCCUCUUUUGCAGGUAUUUGUUGGUCUGAGCAGAGGAUUAUCAGGUUCCCCUCCUUUUUUGGGGGCUGGAACGUAACAAUUGUGUAUAUUCUGUAAUUGAAAUGUCUUAUUCUAUUGCUAUUAUUAUUAUAGUAUUAUGAAUAAACUAUACUAUUAUCAAUAUUUUUAUAUAAUUAUACUGUUAUUCUUUACUAUUUUAUUUGUUUAUUUUAUUGACUAAUCUAUUUACUGUUACUUCACACUUUAUGUUAUAAUUACUAUUUGCAUUGCACUGUAUGCCCAGUUGUUCCAUAACAUUUGUAUAUCAUAAAGGAUCCAUCAGUUAUCUAUGUUAUUGCUAAAAUCUGGUCAAUCACAGAAAAUGCUUUGUCCACAAUAAGCAAACUUAAAUAUCUCAGUAUGGGGUCUUCACCAUUCUUAUCCAAGAAUAAAAAGCUAGAUAGCCUACAUGACAAGCUUGGCCAUUCUUUAUUUUAAAAUAUAUAUAUAUUAUUUACAAGUCUAACUAUCGAUGUUUUAAAUAACUAGAGAUGGAACUUUUUGUAAGCCACUGAAAUCGGUUAAUAAAUGUAAAAAACGUUUUCCCAGAAAAAAUGCAGCUCACCUGUUUACUUACAUUUGAUACAAUGCAGUCUUGCCCUCC